UAGCACAGAGGGGAGCCGAAGCUCCCCUCUGGAAAGAUUGUCGCGUGCUGUUGUUAUUGUUCGCAGGCGUUUGUUUUUGUUUUCGCCUGUUCCCAGAGAUCAGUAUCGCUGGGAAGAACGCUCCGAUCAGGAGCCAAUAGCAAACGGAUUUCUUUGGUCGCUGAGUUGCCUGUCGGCCGGUACGGGUACUGCUUUCAUGCAGUU
rnacentral:misc_RNA from 1 species